rnacentral:rRNA from 1 species
CAGCAGCCGCGGUAACACGAAGGGUGCAAGCGUUAAUCGGAAUUACUGGGCGUAAAGCGUGCGUAGGCGGUGAGUUAAGUCUGCUGUGAAAUCCCCGGGCUCAACCUGGGAAUGGCAGUGGAUACUGGCUCGCUAGAGUGUGUCAGAGGAUGGUGGAAUUCCCGGUGUAGCGGUGAAAUGCGUAGAGAUCGGGAGGAACAUCAGUGGCGAAGGCGGCCAUCUGGGACAACACUGACGCUGAGGCACGAAAGCGUGGGGAGCAAACAGGAUUAGAUACCUCGGUAGUCCCUGUCUCUUAUAC